UCGGUUGAUCCUGCCGGACCUGACUGCUAUCGGAUUGAUACUAAGCCAUGCGAGUCAUUGUAGUAAUACAAGGCAGACGGCUCAGUAACGCGUAGUCAACCUACCCUAUGGACGGGGAUAACCUCGGGAAACUGAGAAUAAUACCCGAUAGAACAUUAUGCCUGGAAUGGUUUAUGUUUCAAAUAAUUUAUUGCCGUAGGAUGGGACUGCGGCCUAUCAGUUUGUUGGUGAGGUAAUGGCCCACCAAGACUAUUACAGGUACGGGCUCUGAGAGGAGUAGCCCGGAGAUGGGUACUGAGACACGGACCCAGGCCCUAUGGGGCGCAGCAGGCGAGAAAACUUUGCAAUGUGCGAAAGCACGACAAGGUUAAUCCGAGUGGUUUCUGCUAAAGGAACCUUUUGUCAGUCCUAGAAACACUGGUGAAUAAGGGGUGGGCAAGUUCUGGUGUCAGCCGCCGCGGUAAAACCAGCACCUCAAGUGGUCAGGAUGAUUAUUGGGCCUAAAGCAUCCGUAGCCUGCUUUGUAAGUUUUCGGUUAAAUCCAUACGCUCAACGUAUGGGCUGCCGGGAAUACUGCAAAGCUAGGGAGUGGGAGAGGUAGACGGUACUCGGUAGGAAGGGGUAAAAUCCUUUGAUCUAUUGAUGACCACCUGUGGCGAAGGCGGUCUACCAGAACACGUCCGACGGUGAGGGAUGAAAGCUGGGGGAGCAAACCGGAUUAGAUACCCGGGUAGUCCCAGCUGUAAACUAUGCAAACUCAGUGAUGCAUUGGCUUGAUGCCNAUGCAGUGCUGCNNGGNAGCCGUUAAGUUUGCCGCCUGGGAAGUACGUA
rnacentral:rRNA from 1 species